rnacentral:rRNA from 1 species
GACGAACGCUGGCGGCGUGCUUAACACAUGCAAGUCGAACGGACAGGCCCUGCUUUUGUGGGGUGCUCGAGUGGCGAACGCGUGAGUAACACGUGAGUAACCUGCCCUUGACUUUGGGAUAACUUCAGGAAACUGGGGCUAAUACCGGAUAGGAGCUCCUGCUGCAUAGGGGGCGUUGGAAAGUUUCGGCGGUUGGGGAUGGACUCGCGGCUUAUCAGCUUGUUGGUGAGGUAGUGGCUUACCAAGGCUUUGACGGGUAGCCGGCCUGAGAGGGUGACCGGCGACAAUGGGACUGAGAGACGGACCAGAAUCCUACGGGAGGCAGCAGUGGGGAAUAUUGCAGAAUGGGCGGAAGCCUGAUGCAGAAACGCCGCGUGCGGGAUGACGGCCUUCGGGUUGUAAACAGCUUUCGCCUGUAACGAAGCGUGAGUGACGGUAAUGGGUAAAGAAGCACCGGCUAACUACGUG